GAUGAACGCUGGCGGCUCUGCUUAACACAUGCAAGUCGAACGAACCUUCGGGUUAGUGGCGGACGGGUGAGUAACGCGUGAGAAUCUGCCCUCAGGAGGGGGAUAACGGUUGGAAACGACCGCUAAUACCCCAUAUGCCGAGAGGUGAAAUGAAAUUCGCCUGAGGAUGAGCUCGCGUCUGAUUAGCUAGUUGGUGUGGUAAUGGCGCACCAAGGCUUCGAUCAGUAGCUGGUCUGAGAGGAUGAUCAGCCACACUGGGACUGAGACACGGCCCAGACUCCUACGGGAGGCAGCAGUGGGGAAUUUUCCGCAAUGGGCGAAAGCCUGACGGAGCAACGCCGCGUGAGGGAUGAAGGCCUCUGGGCUGUAAACCUCUUUUCUCAAGGAAGAAGAUCUGACGGUACUUGAGGAAUAAGCCACGGCUAAUUCCGUGCCAGCAGCCGCGGUAAUACGGGAGUGGCAAGCGUUAUCCGGAAUUAUUGGGCGUAAAGCGUCCGCAGGCGGCCUCGAAAGUCUGUCGUUAAAGCGUGGAGCUUAACUCCAUUUAAGCGGUGGAAACUACGAGGCUAGAGUGUGGUAGGGGCAGAGGGAAUUCCCGGUGUAGCGGUGAAAUGCGUAGAUAUCGGGAAGAACACCAGUGGCGAAGGCGCUCUGCUGGGCCAUAACUGACGCUCAUGGACGAAAGCCAGGGAGCGAAAGGGAUUAGAUACCCCUGUAGUCCUGGCCGUAAACGAUGAACACUAGGUGUCGGGGGAAUCGACCCCCUCGGUGUCGUAGCUAACGCGUUAAGUGUUCCGCCUGGGGAGUACGCACGCAAGUGUGAAACUCAAAGGAAUUGACGGGGGCCCGCACAAGCGGUGGAGUAUGUGGUUUAAUUCGAUGCAACGCGAAGAACCUUACCAGGGCUUGACAUCCUGCGAAUCCCUUGGAAACUAGGGAGUGCCUUCGGGAGCGCAGAGACAGGUGGUGCAUGGCUGUCGUCAGCUCGUGUCGUGAGAUGUUGGGUUAAGUCCCGCAACGAGCGCAACCCACGUCUUUAGUUGCCAGCAUUAAGUUGGGCACUCUAGAGAGACCGCCGGUGAUAAACCGGAGGAAGGUGUGGAUGACGUCAAGUCAUCAUGCCCCUUACGUCCUGGGCUACACACGUACUACAAUGCUACGGACAAAGGGCAGCAAACUCGCGAGAGCUAGCAAAUCCCAUAAACCGUGGCUCAGUUCAGAUCGUAGGCUGCAACUCGCCUACGUGAAGGAGGAAUCGCUAGUAAUCGCAGGUCAGCAUACUGCGGUGAAUACGUUCCCGGGCCUUGUACACACCGCCCGUCACACCAUGGAAGUUGGCCACGCCCGAAGUCGUUACUCCAACCCGUAAGGGAGGAGGAUGCCGAAGGUGGGGCUGGUGACUGGGGUGAAGUCGUA
rnacentral:rRNA from 1 species